UGGGUAACGGCUGCUCUCAUGCAGAAGUCUACCAUUUCCAACCCACUCUGGAGCAAUGGUCUGGAUAAGGUGGCUCGACACUUCUGUUGAGUUUUCUGGUCAUGGUGGCUGGGAAUAAAGAAGGUUAGGGCAAAAGAAGGAAGCAUCUGUCUUCUCUGGCACUACCAGGCUUUCACUGCAGCUGUAGUCUUUUACCUGACUACAAGAUGACACCAUGCUGUAUCUCCUGGAGGUACCCUGAUGGAAAGCACCAGAAUUGCUUUUAUCUCCUGUAAUACCUAUACUUUUCCUCUAGGUCCCCCAUAUUUCUCCUCAAAAUAAGACCUACUUGGAAAAGGACGACAUCGAGCAAAGGGCAUAAGUGGGAACUCCCUCUCCCUGCAACCGAUCAUCAGGGACUCUCUCAGUGCAGAGAUUCAAAGAGAGCAAGAAGUCUUGGUUCACUGUCACCUUUGCCAGCUCAGCUUUAGAGAGCCAUCUAGAGGAGAGAGAAAAGUGACUCUUGUUGUGAAACAAGAUAAUACAUGCAUAGGAAAUUAAAUGGUAGUGAAUGAAUAAUGCUAAAGCCUAGAGGAAAAUGUUGUAGAGAAGAGGAGAGAAUUCCAAGUGCUAAGCCAGCAGCAGAGGAGAGCCCCACCAUUGCUGGACAAUUUAUUUUGGAAACAGGGCUGGGAACAGAGUCUGAACCUCAAGCCAAAAAACCUAUUCUACAGAGUCUUUCUCACCUUAGCCCAGCUGAGGUUUAUAGCUUGAAAUCAGAAAGGCUCAGAAGAGCAGAACACAGACCCAGUAUUGAGGUCAAGAGAAGAGUAAGAACUUUGGAAUAAGAAACAUUAGAAUAAAAAUUCAAAUGUGUUUUAACUUAUUAGACCUCAUUUGU